AAAAACAUGUCUUUUUGAAAAUAAUAUAAAGUCUAAUCUGCCCACUGAAAUUAUUUUAAAGGGCUGCAGUAUAUUGACUGUACAAAGGUAGCAUAAUCAAUAGUCUUUUAAUUGAAGACUUGUAUGAAUGAUUUAAUGAAAUAUAAACUGUCUCUUUAUUAAAAUUAGAAUUUAAUUUUUUAGUCAAAAAGCUAAAAUAAAUUUAAAAGACGAGAAGACCCUAUAGAGUUUUAUAUUUUUUAGUAUUUUAAUUUUAUAUAAAAUUUUAAAUUAAAAUAUUAAUAAAUAUUUUAUUGGGGUGAUAUAAAAAUUAAAAUAACUUUUUAAAAAAUUAAACAUUAAUUUAUGAGUAUUUGAUCCAUAAUUUAUGAUUAAAAGAAAAAAUUACCUUAGGGAUAACAGCGUUAUUUUUUCUUUUAGUUCAAAUAAAAGUUAAAGUUUGCGACCUCGAUGUUGGAUUAAGAUAAAAUUUAAAAGCAAAAUUUUAAAAUUUUGAUCUGUUCGAUCAUUAAAAUCUUACAUGAUCUGA
rnacentral:rRNA from 1 species